rnacentral:tRNA from 1 species
GUGCACAUAACUCAGUUGGUAGAGUAACCGACUUUUAAUCGGUAUGCCCUAGGUUCAAUUCCUAGUGUGCACA